rnacentral:rRNA from 1 species
AAACCGCCCAGAGGUAAACGGGUGGAUCCGCAAAGUCGGUCCGCGGAAUUCAGCGCGGCGCGCAGACCUGGGCUGCCGUGGUUCGGGAUCCCUGGGACCCAGCCGCGGUGUCGUUCGGGACUCCGCCGCGUGCACUUUCCGCGGGCAGAGUGCCACAACCGGUUCGGUGGCGGCUAUAAGUUUGGAGGGUUGUAGGUGGGGGCGCUUGCGUCCCUACCAGCCUUUCCCUUGCGAGCCGCUCCCGGACCGAGGGUACGCCGUGCGCUUCGAGGCCACCCUCCCCCUCCAGGUGAUUUCGACUGGGAGAGACUGGGCAACCGUGUCUCCCGACCGCUCAUCUGCGAUCGGCGUGGGGCUGGCCGGGCGUGCAUUGUCUGUCAAGGUUGGUGGCAAGUAUGUCGGCAUUCCACCCGACCCGUCUUGAA